UGGCUCAGAUUGAACGCUGGCGGCAUGCCUUACACAUGCAAGUCGAACGGCAGCACGGGUGCUUGCACCUGGUGGCGAGUGGCGAACGGGUGAGUAAUACAUCGGAACAUGUCCUGUAGUGGGGGAUAGCCCGGCGAAAGCCGGAUUAAUACCGCAUACGAUCUAUGGAUGAAAGCGGGGGACCUUCGGGCCUCGCGCUAUAGGGUUGGCCGAUGGCUGAUUAGCUAGUUGGUGGGGUAAAGGCCUACCAAGGCGACGAUCAGUAGCUGGUCUGAGAGGACGACCAGCCACACUGGGACUGAGACACGGCCCAGACUCCUACGGGAGGCAGCAGUGGGGAAUCUUGGACAAUGGGGGCAACCCUGAUCCAGCAAUGCCGCGUGUGGGAUGAAGGCCUUCGGGUUGUAAACCACUUUUGGCGGGGGCGAAAUAUCGAGUGCUAAUACCAUUCGGUGAUGACGGUACCCGCAGAAUAAGCACCGGCUAACUAC
rnacentral:rRNA from 1 species